GACGAACGCUGGCGGCGUGCUUAACACAUGCAAGUCGAACGGAAAGGCCCUGCUUUUGUGGGGUGCUCGAGUGGCGAACGGGUGAGUAACACGUGAGUAACCUUCCCUUGACUUUGGGAUAACUUCAGGAAACUGGGGCUAAUACCGGAUAGGAGCUCCUGCUGCAUGGUGGGGGUUGGAAAGUUUCGGCGGUUGGGGAUGGACUCGCGGCUUAUCAGCUUGUUGGUGGGGUAGUGGCUUACCAAGGGUUUGACGGGUAGCCGGCCUGAGAGGGUGACCGGCCACAUUGGGACUGAGAUACGGACCAGACUCCUACGGGAGGCAGCAGUGGGGAAUAUUGCACAAUGGGCGGAAGCCUGAUGAAGAAACGCCGCGUGCGGGAUGACGGCCUUCGGGUUGUAAACCGCUUUCGCCUGUGACGAAGCGUGAGUGACGGUAAUGGGUAAAGAAGCACCGGCUAACUACGUG
rnacentral:rRNA from 1 species